CAUGCCAGCAGACAGUUCCAGCUCUCAGGAACUGAUGCACAAACAGCUGCCGUUUCUCCUCCUUCCCUCCUUCUCUCGCUCCAUUAACUUUUCUCCUCUUCAUUUCUUUACCCCCCCCCCUUCACCACACUGCCCUGCAUUCGUCCUCUCUGUACUUUUCCCCUUCCUUCCCUCUAACUCUGUCAUUCGGCCCUGCACUUUUCCUCAGGCAGAUAUAAAGGCAGGUCCUGUCGAAAGGGAGAGAGGGCUUGUGUAAUCUCUGGCUGCACAUGAGCACCGGGGAGAGUUAUUGCCUCAGCUGGAAAAAGGACCGUGAAAGAAGCAGAGGAGAAACUAACACCGGAUAAGAAGAAGGAAUAACUCUGGAAGACAGGAAGGGAGGAGAAAGAAGAGGGGGCACUGAGAGUUUCAAGUUGGGGGUGCAGGACAGAGACCAUGCCGGGGUCCAUGCUGCUGUUGCUGAUGUCCCUGUUGGUCCUGUCCACAGGAAGUGAUGCCAGAAGAAUCAGGAAAAGAGGACUCAACCAAAAGGAUUACGAGUACCCCAACCACCCCCAGUCCACGCAGCACCAGAAGAACGACCGGUGUCCUCCGCCGCCCCAAAUGCUGCCGGAGCGAGCCUGCGAGGUGCCGGGCUGCCGCUCAGACUCAGAGUGCGAGCGCCAUAAACGUUGCUGCUACAACGGCUGCAUCUACGCCUGCCUGGAGUCCGUUCAGCCUCCACCAGUGCUGGACUGGCUGGUGCAGCCCAAGCCUCGGUGGUUGGGGGGUAACGGCUGGUUGCUAGACGGCCCUGAAGAGGUUCUGCAAGCUGAGGCCUGCAGCACAACUGAAGAUGGAGACGAGCCUCUUCACUGCCCCACAGGCUACGAGUGCCACAUCAUCAACCCGGGAAACCCCACCGCUGGUAUCCCCAACCGGGGACAGUGCAUCAAGCAGCGCGGGAACUCCGACGGUCGGGGCUUGAGGCACAAAUACUUUAAGGACUACAAGGACUACUUAGGUAAGUGAGGAACCAGCUCUAACAAUGCAGUAGGCUACGAAAAACUUCAGCACAAGCACCUGGGAUAAAAUCAACCAUGACCUCAGCCUCAGCGACGACCAUAACACGACCUCAGACAUCAGCCCAGUGGAUCUGUUCUCAUCUCACCUGAACAAGGGCCACAUCUCAACUUUUCACUUCACCCACAGCUGCUACCUCCUCUCUGCAAAGCCCACAGUACACCACCAAAGAAAUACCUACAUUUAUUUUCUUUUUCGUCUCUCUGUCUAAUAUAUUCUGCAAGAAAGGAGCAGAGGGUGUUGAUGGUGAUGCAGGAAAGAAAGCAGGCUGUGCACCAAAGUUGUUUUGCCAUAAAUCUCACAGGAUGUUUGGAAACAUUACAGUUAAAUCAUUUAGCGCUUGUUGUUAUUCUCACACAUGGACAAACCUCUAAAACUCUAACCUGAACGCUGGUCAGCAGAGAAAAGCAAGACCAUAUGUCUCUGUUACUCGUUCUCUACAGCACGCUAUUCAAAUUUCUGCAAAUCUGGAAGACUUUAUGGACAAAUGGGAGAAAUCCCAGCUGCUUCUUUGAGUAAAACCCAAAUGUGAAUUAAAAUUCUAAUUAUGAGAAUGAAUGCCAUAUGAGAGUGUGGAUUGUGUCAGUUUUGAGGGAUUUGGAAAAGCUGUGGGUUGGGUGGAGACAGCAGAUCCCAACUGUCACAACUUGAUGAGUUCAGUUGGUUCAUUCAAGAGGCUCAUUUGAGCGAAAUUAACUUUUUAACAGAUUCUCUACAUAAAUAAACCAACAGAGAGUGAAAUAUGAGUCAUGCAACAAAUACCUGUUAUACACAAGCUUUUCAUUAAUUGUUAUGUUUGUUUUUGCAUGAAUGUGUCAUCUGGUGACAAAUGUAGCUCAUCUGAUAAACAAGAUGAUUCAGUCUGACUUAAAUUAUCUCAACUCCAUGUUGCUCUAUACCAGCAUUUUAACAGUAAGGGCUUUCGCACGGAGCUGAUUUUGAAAACUGGUCAGAAAGUCUGUUAUUCUAGAGCUGAACCUGCUUCAGUUCAUUUAAGUUUGUUGUCGUGUUAUCAAUAUAUAUGGUGCUCACGUUCAUUUUUGCCUCUAAUAACAGGAGAAUAAGCUGAAGGUGUAAAAACAAAAGCUGUAACCAUGAAUUCUCUGUGUGCAGAACUAAAGUGAUGUCUGAAUGUUUCUGCCUAACUGGUGCUGAAAUGCUGCCUCGUUUAUUCUAAAUAAACAGAAACAACAUUGUCAACACA